AUGGCUUUAGUAUGUGAUCUUUGGUUGCCAAGUAGUUUGGGCACGAUGACAGGGCCAAUUUGGCCAUCUAUUGAGGCCGAAAAUUUUGAGUUGAGGCCUGGACUUAUUGCUCUUGUCUUGCAGAAUCAGUUUAGAGGAUUACCCAAUGAAGACCCUCAUGAGCACAUUUGUAAUGUCCUGGAGUAUGCCAAUACUGUCCAGUACCAUGGCGUUUCCCAAGAUGCUAUCAAGUGUAUGCUGUUCACAUUCUCUCUCAGAGAUGCUACUAAGGACUGGUACUAUUCUUUGCCAUCAAGAUCAUACACUUGGGGUGAUAUUUCGCAAGCUUUCCUGCACAGAUAUUUUCCACUUUACAAGCAAGCUGCCAUUCAUGACCAGAUCCUCAGUUUUGCGCAAGAUGGAAGUGAGUGCUUGUAUGCAGCUUGGGAGAGAUAUAAGUAUUUGCUUAGAAAAUGUCCUAAUCAUGGGCAAAAGGAUUGGUUAGUGCUCCAGAUAUUCUAUAGAGGGCUGACACAUGCUUCGAGAGAUCUUAUUGAUAUGUCAGCUGGUGGAACAAUCAUGAACAAGACCGUUGAGGGUGUAAUUAUUCUCAUUGAGAGCAUUGCCUUCCACCAAAUGCAAUGGGGUUAUGAAAGGCCUAGUUCAAAUCCAAAGGUUGCAAGCCAUCUGCAAUCAGAAGCUGUGUGUUCCAUAAGUGAACAUAAAUCAUCCAUGUGCCUAAUAUUCGAAACCAGCAUGUUCCAUUUCGGGGACAACAACAUUUCAGAGCUGAAUUAG
rnacentral:rRNA from 1 species